GCUUACGGCCUUACCACCUUAGGCACGGCCGCUCUCGUCUGAUCUCGGAAGCUAAGCAGGGUUGGGCCUGGUUAGUA
rnacentral:rRNA from 10 species